AAGUGGAGCAAUGCAUGAGUAAAGUGGCGUACGGGUGAGUAACACGUGACUAACCUACCCUUGAGUGGGGAAUAACCUCGGGAAACCGGGGCUAAUACCGCAUAAUACCUUCGGGUCAAAGGAGCAAUUCGCUUAAGGAGGGGGUCGCGGCUGAUUAGCUAGUUGGUGGGGUAAUGGCCUACCAAGGCAGUGAUCAGUAUCCGGCCUGAGAGGGCGCACGGACACACUGGAACUGAAACACGGUCCAGACUCCUACGGGAGGCAGCAGUGGGGAAUUUUGCACAAUGGGGGAAACCCUGAUGCAGCAACGCCGCGUGGAGGAUGAAGUCCCUUGGG
rnacentral:rRNA from 1 species